UACGGAGGGUGCAAGCGUUAUCCGGCUUCACUGGGUUUAAAGGGUGCGUAGGUGGGUUUGUAAGUCCGUGGUGAAAUCUCCGGGCUUAACUCGGAAACUGCCUUGGAUACUAUAAGUCUUGAAUGACGUUGAGGUUAGCGGAAUAUGUCAUGUAGCGGUGAAAUGCUUAGAUAUGACAUAGAACAUCUAUUGCGAAGGCAGCUAACUAAGCGUAUAUUGACGCUGAUGCACGAAAGCGUGGGGAUCAAACAGG
rnacentral:rRNA from 1 species